rnacentral:rRNA from 1 species
CCUACGGGAGGCAGCAGUGAGGAAUAUUGGACAAUGGGCGCAAGCCUGAUCCAGCCAUGCCGCGUGCAGGAUGACGGUCCUAUGGAUUGUAAACUGCUUUUGUACAGGAAGAAACAGUUCUACGUGUAGAACCUUGACGGUACUGUAAGAAUAAGGAUCGGCUAACUCCGUGCCAGCAGCCGCGGUAAUACGGAGGAUCCAAGCGUUAUCCGGAAUCAUUGGGUUUAAAGGGUCCGUAGGCGGUCUAGUAAGUCAGUGGUGAAAGCCCAUCGCUCAACGGUGGAACGGCCAUUGAUACUGCUAGACUUGAAUUAUUAGGAAGUAACUAGAAUAUGUAGUGUAGCGGUGAAAUGCUUAGAGAUUACAUGGAAUACCAAUUGCGAAGGCAGGUUACUACUAAUGGAUUGACGCUGAUGGACGAAAGCGUGGGUAGCGAACAGGAUUAGAUACCCUGGUAGUCCACGCCGUAAACGAUGGAUACUAGCUGUUGGGAGCAAUUUCAGUGGCUAAGCGAAAGUGAUAAGUAUCCCACCUGGGGAGUACGUUCGCAAGAAUGAAACUCAAAGGAAUUGACGG